AGGUUCUUGGAUCCCCUGGGGUAAAGCGGGGCAGGGCGGCCUGAUAAGUGGAUGUGAAAGCCUUCGGCUCACCCGUAGACUGCAUCCAAAACCUGUCAGGCUAGAGUGUGGAGAGGGAAGAUGGAAUUAGUGUGGUAGGGGUAAAUUCCGUAGAGAUAACUAGGAAUACCUAAGCGAAGGCACCCUUUCUGGAACACUACUGACGUGAGGGCGCGAAGCGGGGGGGAGCAACGGGGAUAGGAUACCCCGGUAGUCCACGCAGUAACGGAUGAAUGUUAGUCGUCGGGUAGCUAGUCUAUUCGGUGAUGCAGCUACGCCAUUAAACAUUCCGCCUGGGGAGUACGGUCGCAAGAUAAAACCUCAAAGGAAUAGACGGGGACCCGCACAAGUGGUGGAGCAUGUGGUUAAUUUCGAAGAUACGCGAAGAACCUUACCUAGCCUUGACAUAUAUUAGAAUCUUUCAGAGAUGAGAGAGUGCCUUCGGGAGCUUUUAUACAGGUGCUGCACGGCUGUCGUCAGCUCGUGUCGUGAGAUGUUGGGUUAAGUCCCGCAACGAGCGCAACCCUCGUCACUAGUUACUAACGGUUCGGCCGAGGACUCUAGUGAGACUGCCUUCGCAAGGAGGAGGAAGGGAGGACGACGUCAAGUCAUCAUGGCCCUUACGGCUAGGGCAACACACGUGCUACAAUGGUUGGGACAAUGAGACGCGAUACCGCGAGGUGGAGCAAAUCUAUAAACCCAAUCUCAGUUCGGAUUGUUCUCUGCAACUCGAGAGCAUGAAGCUGGAAUCACUAGUAAUCGUAGAUCAGCUAUGCUACGGUGAAUACGUUCCCGGGUCUUGUACUCACCGCCCGUCACACCAUGGGAGUUGAUUUCACCCGAAGCGGGGAAGCUAAACUGGCUACCCUCCACGGUGGAAUUAGCGACUGGGGUGAAGUCGUAACAAGGUACC
rnacentral:rRNA from 1 species